rnacentral:ncRNA from 1 species
AAUAAUUAGCGGGGAAAGAAGACCCUUUUGAGCUUGACUCUAAUCUGGCAGUGUAAGGAGACAUAAGAGGUGUAGCAUAAGUGGGAGAUAUUAGAUUUCGGUUUGGUAUCGACAAUGAAAUACCACUACUCUUAUUGUUUCCUUACUUACUUGAUUAAAUGGAACGUGUAUCAUUUCCUAGCCAUUAUACGGAUAUAUUUAUUAUAUCUUAUGGUAUUGGGUUUUGAUGCAAGCUUCUUGAUCAAAGUAUCACGAGUUUGUUAUAUAAUCGCAAACAAAUUCUUUAAUGAGAAAAUGCAUUUAUGUAUUUUCAAUUUGAAAAUUUGGUAUAACUCCAAUUACUCAGGUAUGAUCCAAUUCAAGGACAUUGCCAGGUAGGGAGUUUGACUGGGGCGGUACAUCUCUCAAAUAAUAACGGAGGUGUCCCAAGGCCAGCUCAGUGCGGACAGAAACCACACAUAGAGCAAAAGGGCAAAUGCUGACUUGAUCUCGGUGUUCAGUACACACAGGGACAGCAAAAGCUCGGCCUAUCGAUCCUUUUGGUUUAAAGAGUUUUUAACAAGAGGUGUCAGAAAAGUUACCAUAGGGAUAACUGGCUUGUGGCGGCCAAGCGUUCAUAGCGACGUCGCUUUUUGAUCCUUCGAUGUCGGCUCUUCCUAUCAUUGUGAAGCAAAAUUCACCAAGCGUUGGAUUGUUCACCCAUGCAAGGGAACGUGAGCUGGGUUUAGACCGUCGUGAGACAGGUUAGUUUUACCCUACUAAUGACAAAACGUUGUUGCGACAGCAUUCCUGCGUAGUACGAGAGGAACCGCAGGUACGGACCAAUGGCACAAUACUUGUUCGAGCGAACAGUGGUAUGACGUUACGUAAAAUGGAUUAUGCCUGANCGCGUGGGGAGAAAAAAUCAGUGCUGGACUGCAAUGAUAAAUAAGGGGCAAUUUGCAUUGUAUAAAAAAAAAACCAUUAAAAGUUUAUAAUUUAUUUUAUAAACGACAAUGGAUGUGAUGCCAAUGUAAUUUGUAACAUAGUAAAUUGGGAGGAUCAUCGAUCACCUGAUGCCGCGCUAGUUGCAUAUAAAAACAUUAUUUAAUACAAUGACAAAGCCUAGAAUCAAUUGUAAACGACUUUUGUAACAGGCAAGGUGUUGUAAGUGGUUGAGCAGCUGCCAUNNNNNNNNNNNNNNNNNNNNNNNNNNNNNNNNNNNNNNNNNNNNNNNNNNAGCGACACGCCAGCAUGUCUAUGCGGCGCAGAACGCGAGGAUUGGCAGCACUUCCUAUGUGCUUGUCCCCUCU